AACUCAUGGAAAACCUCUUGUUUUGCUCUGCUAUUGUUUCCAACUUGAACACCAUGAAUGUGCAGAAAUAGUGGUUUCCCUAGCAAGUGACUAUGAUGAGCUUGGAACUGUGUGAACAGCAGCGAUAAACAGUUGUUGACUUCUCUGAGGCUUUUUUUUUGUGUCAGAAUUGAGAUGUACCCCACAGUAUAGCUCCAAGGUUUUGUUCCAAAGGAAAAAAAAAGCUGAGACAGUACUGCAUUUUUAAUGGCUGAGUCAUCUGCCUCUGUCCCAACAGCAGAAUCUCAUUUUAGGACUCCUCUGAAAUUCAAGUUUGUUUCCACUGUUUACAUGCUCCUAUGUAAAUAUGUAGAUAAGGGAAGAUCAGAGGAUUUUGCCUUGCACUGGAAGCAGAAGAUACAAAGGUCUGCCAAAGGCUCAUUAAUCCACAACUGA
rnacentral:lncRNA from 1 species